UGCGGUGAGGUGGGAGUGGAGCUGCGUGCUCCCACGGGUGACCUACGGGGAGAAGUGUUGUUCAUGAGCUUUUAGAGCAGUUUGGUCACAGAAAGGGGGCCCAGGGACAGGUGAGGAGCUGUGGAGGCAAUGCAGAGGGAAGAGCCGGAACCAAAAUUCAUGUGUUUGGAAGCCCAACCCCCCAAGACCUCAGGAUGCAACUGUAUUUGGACAUGGCACCUUUCAAGAGGUGAUAAGGGUUUUGUCCAAUGCUGAUGGUGGGUGAGAAAAAGAAUCAUCAACCGUGGUCCUGGGGUAGAGCAGGGCCUGGACCCAUGUUCCCAGAGAGGAGGACCCCAAAGUCACGUCUUGCUCUGCUCCUGUGACUGUGACAUAUAUCUGAGUGGCUUCCGGACCAGGGAUCUCCAGCUUCACCCCAACCGUCAGAUAAACACAUCCAUGUAGUUCCUUGUCUCAGUCAAUGUGAGGAUUAAAACUGAC